AUUAAGUUGAUGCAAAAUCCCAGCCAUGUUCACCAGUAAGGGAGCAGGGUUUAAUCUCGUCGGGUUCCUGAUCACCAUGUUGGGGGUUAUUCUGCGAAAACAACAGGCUGGAUGUACAUUAUAUCUUACUUAACACACAAGACAUAUUCAACAGAGCAACGAAUCGACGAGUCACCAUGGAAAUGGACAAAAGAACAAUUCAGAUGUGUGCUGCACAUUUUAUGGAGGAUGAGGACUGUUUCCUGAACCAGUAGCCUGCAAUGCGUCUGUGGCACAACGGCUGUUUCUAUAAAGUUGGACAGUUCAAACUUUGGACAGUCUGGGGCUUCUGACUCACAGC